ACGCUAGCUACAGGCUUAACACAUGCAAGUCGAGGGGAAACGGCAUUGAGUGCUUGCACUCUUUGGACGUCGACCGGCGCACGGGUGAGUAACGCGUAUCCAACCUUCCCAUUAUUGUGGGGUAACCUGCCGAAAGGCAGACUAAUACCGCAUAGUCUUCGAUGACGGCAUCAGAUUUGAAGUAAAGAUUUAUCGGUAAUGGAUGGGGAUGCGUCUGAUUAGCUUGUUGGCGGGGUAACGGCCCACCAAGGCGACGAUCAGUAGGGGUUCUGAGAGGAAGGUCCCCCACAUUGGAACUGAGACACGGUCCAAACUCCUACGGGAGGCAGCAGUGAGGAAUAUUGGUCAAUGGACGGAAGUCUGAACCAGCCAAGUAGCGUGCAGGAUGACGGCCCUAUGGGUUGUAAACUGCUUUUGUAUGGGGAUAAAGUUAGGGACGUGUCCCUAUUCGCAGGUACCAUACGAAUAAGGACCGGCUAAUUCCGUGCCAGCAGCCGCGGUAAUACGGAAGGUCCAGGCGUUAUCCGGAUUUAUUGGGUUUAAAGGGAGCGUAGGCUGGAGAUUAAGUGUGUUGUGAAAUGUAGACGCUCAACGUCUGAAUUGCAGCGCAUACUGGUUUCCUUGAGUACGCACAACGUUGGCGGAAUUCGUCGUGUAGCGGUGAAAUGCUUAGAUAUGACGAAGAACUCCGAUUGCGAAGGCAGCUGACGGGAGCGCAACUGACGCUUAAGCUCGAAGGUGCGGGUAUCAAACAGGAUUAGAUACCCUGGUAGUCCGCACAGUAAAUGAUGGAUGCCCGCUGUUGGUACCUGGUAUCAGCGGCUAAGCGAAAGCAUUAAGCAUCCCACCUGGGGAGUACGCCGGCAACGGUGAAACUCAAAGGAAUUGACGGGGGCCCGCACAAGCGGAG
rnacentral:rRNA from 1 species